AACUGUGAAUUAAAACGUCCAGUAUUACAAUCAACUCAGUCACACCAACGAUGCAUGAAUACUAAUGAGAUAAAUCAGAACCAAUCUCUCGAACUUAGUAACUAAAUCACGGACAGCAUAUUAGUCAAUGCCCAAUUCAAAGAAAACAGAUAAAUAUUGAGUCAUUUAUACCAUAUAUUUUUCUUCAAUGAACAAAACUCUCAAGCAGAUUCAGUACAUGAAAGAUGAGCUACUAAGCAUUUGAUAAUGAAUAACCAACUAAUCACGAGCUGAAAUGACAAAUUUCUCACAUUUAAUUAAGAGCUAAAAGGAAAAAAUUUAGAGAAAAGAGUUGAAUGACUCGAAAGAAUAUGAAAACUGAAAUUCAGCAUGAAUAUCAUCCAUUAACUUAAUAGCACUAGUACAUCCUCCACAAAAGCAUGCUUUCAUUCCAUUUGGCAUCAAGGUUCAAAGGAGUUCUUGGAUACAAAUAGUGAACAGAUUAAGAAAUGUGUCUCUGAAAUCAUGAGUAGCAGCAACAAAACAACUGGAAAAAUGGCCAAGGGAUAGCUUAAACAACCCAACAAAUGACACUGGAAGACAACACACUUGAUAAAACCAAAAAUCCAACUGUAAUCUCAAAAACCAAUGAGGAUCUAAUGCAAGGCAUUGCUCAAUGAUAAGUAUAUUCAUUAUUUUCAUAAAGAGGGAUUCAAAUCUGAAAUCUGAUUUAAAAUUGAUCUUUGAAAGAUGAUGGAAAGAAAGCUGAAUGCUUCAGAGGGUUUUUAGGUGCCCGAUCCAUGUGUUUUUGAAAGGGAGAAGAGUCGUGUGUGUAUAUAUAUAUAUAUAUAUAUAUAUAUAUAUAUAUAUAUAUAUCCAAUGAAAUAUGUCACUUGCUCCUUAAGAUAAGGGAAUCAUUCCCUUUAAACAACCCU
rnacentral:lncRNA from 1 species